UACGUAGGGUGCAAGCGUUAAUCGGAAUUACUGGGCGUAAAGCGUGCGCAGGCGGUGAUGUAGGACAGAUGUGAAAUCCCCGGGCUCAACCUGGGAACUGCAUUUGUGACUGCAUCGCUGGAGUGCGGCAGAGGGGGAUGGAAUUCCGCGUGUAGCAGUGAAAUGCGUAGAUAUGCGGAGGAACACCGAUGGCGAAGGCAAUCCCCUGGGCCUGCACUGACGCUCAUGCACGAAAGCGUGGGGAGCAAACAGG
rnacentral:rRNA from 1 species